rnacentral:rRNA from 1 species
UAUUAGUGGGGUUCCAGUUCAUUUACUUUGAGUAAUUAGAGUGUUCAAAGCAGCCUGUAUGGGCAUUGAAUAGAUUAGCAUGGGAUAAUAGAAUAGGAUUCUUGUCUAUUUAUUGGUUUAUAGACUUAGAAUAAUGAUUAAUAGGGAUAGUUGGGGGCACUUGUAUUCAAUAGUCAGAGGUGAAAUUCUAGGAUUUAUUGAAGACAAACUUCAGCGAAAGCAUUUGCCAAGGAUGUUUUCAUUAAUCAAGAACGAAAGUUAGGGGAUCGAAGACGAUUAGACACCGUCGUAGUCUUAACUAUAAACUAUGCCGACCAGGGAUAUGAGAGUUUUUAAUUUAUGUUAUGAAUAAUAACAUAAUCUCUUGUGGACCUUGUGAGAAAUCAUAAGUUUUUGGGGUUCUGGGGGG